rnacentral:lncRNA from 1 species
GCCAUGAUCAGAAUGUUUGGUGGAGGAGGGAGGGUGAUAAAGGAAAUGAAGGGAGGAAAAGCAUUUUCCUAAGCCCACUGCAAAAACUGGAACCAGAGGAGACGGAGAAUGUUAACUCCUUGUAUAUAUGUGUGAGAAAGAACCUGAGCUGGAAUUAAAACAGAGGCACUCCCUCUGAAGAGGAAGGAGAAACUGAGAGAGUGAGGCAGUUCCUGCUGAACCUUUGUUAGCUCUUGUGGUGAAGGGAGUUUUCGCCAUCAGGGGCAGCCUUGGGAGAGGAUGCUGCUAUAGAAAAAGCUCAUGAAACUCAAAGGCACAGAGACAAGCUCAUGGCUGCAUUAUGAAGCUUGCAUAGUCCCAGGAGAGCGGAUAGCCCUCUUAGCAGAUUCAAAUUCCACUCUCUCUAGAAACAUGAAGUAGCAGCCUACUGUGUACAAGAAAGCCAUCAGCAAUGAGGGACCUGCAGCCAAGUUCGUUACGGACCAGCUUGCUGAGUUGUCUUGAAAAGCGGGCUUACAGGUGUUCUAAGCCCAUGUUUUAUCCUGAAGUUCCCCUCGACAAGAAAAACGAAUUCAUAGCACAAAGUACACCAGUUUAAGACUAGCCUUAGAAUUCUUUUUUGCAUUAAUCCAAACAGAAGAGAUUUGUUUUACCAUUCCUUCAAUCGUUCCCACAGAGAGAAGUCAGAAAUCUGACUGGUAAGAAAUUUUUACCCUUUUGCCGGCAUGCCAAUCUUCUGGGUUCUCUUUCUCUGAGCAGUCCUAGUGAUCCAGCUUGUGGCACCAUCACCCUGGGGCCAAGCCACAUUAUAAAGGAAUUUUUUUUUUUCAUUCUGGCCAGAGCAAAAUACAUGUGAUAAAACACAGACAUUAGCCACUCUGCUUAGCACCCAAUAUCAAACUGGCAAGGCUUAAAUUUUCCCCCAGAUGAGUCCCAUCAUCUUUAAUCCAACCUCCGACUUGGAGUAUCAACAUAUGGUCUCUGGGCAAGAUGGUCACCCUGAGUGACAGAAAAUAUAGGAAAGGAAAAGUAGAGAAGGAAAGUAUUACCUGUGGUAGGGUGGGGAAGGUGAAGAGCUCAGGGAAGCCAGAGAAAACGCCCACUCAUUGCAGCCGACAAUGAAAAGUUCAAGGCCGGGUGUGGUGGCUCGAACCUGUAAUCCUAGUACUUUGGGAGGCCGAGGCGGGUGGAUCACCUGAGGUCGGGAGUUGAAGACCAGCCUGACCAACAGGGAGAAACCCUGUCUCCACUAAAAAUACACAAUUAGCCUAGCGUGGUGGCGCAUUGCUGUAAUCCCAGCUACUCAGGAGGCUGAGGCAGGAGAAUUGCUUGAACCUGGGAGGCGGAGGUUGUGGUGAGACGAGAUCGUGCCAUUGCACUCCAGCCUGGGAAACAAGAGCAAAACUCCAUCUCAAAAAACAAGAAAGGAAGGAAGGAAGGAAGAAAGAAAAGGAAAGGAAAGGAAAGGAAAAAGGAAAGGAAAGGAAAAGACAGGACAGGACAGGAAAGGAAAGGAAAAGAAAGGAAAGGAAAGGAAAAGACAGGACAGGACAGGAAAGGAAAGGAAAAGAAAGGAAAGGAAAGGAAAGGAAAGGAAAGGAAAGGAAAGGAAAAGACAGGACAGGACAGGAAAGGAAAGGAAAAGAAAGGAAAGGAAAGGAAAGGAAAGGAAAGGAAAGGCAAGGCAAGGCAAGGCAAGGCAAGGCGCGGUGGCUCACGCCUGUAAUCCCAGCACUUUGGGAGGCUAAGGCGGGAGGAUCACCUGAGGUCAGGAGUUCGAGACCAGCCUCAACAUGGAAAAACCCCGUCUCUACUAAAAAUACAAAAUUACCUGGGCGUGGUGGUGCAUGCCUGUAACCCCAGCUACUUGGGAG